rnacentral:rRNA from 1 species
AGAGUUCGAUUCUGGCUCAGGACGAACGCUGGCGGCGUGCUUAACACAUGCAAGUCGAACGGAAAGGCCCUGCUUUUGUGGGGUGCUCGAGUGGCGAACGGGUGAGUAACACGUGAGUAACCUGCCCUUGACUUUGGGAUAACUUCAGGAAACUGGGGCUAAUACCGGAUAGGAGCUCCUGCUGCAUGGUGGGGGUUGGAAAGUUUCGGCGGUUGGGGAUGGACUCGCGGCUUAUCAGCUUGUUGGUGGGGUAGUGGCUUACCAAGGCUUUGACGGGUAGCCGGCCUGAGAGGGUGACCGGCUACAUUGGGACUGAAGAUACGGCUCAGAGUCCUACGGGAGGCAGCAGUGGGGAAUAUUGCACAAUGGGCGGAAGCCUGAUGGCAGCAACGCCGCGUGCGGGAUGACGGCCUUCGGGUUGUAAACCGCUUUCGCCUGUGACGAAGCUGUGAGUGACGGUAAUGGGUAAAGAAGCACCGGCUAACUACGUGCCAGCAGCCGCGGUGAUACGUAGGGUGCGAGCGUUGUCCGGAUUUAUUGGGCGUAAAGGGCUCGUAGGUGGUUGAUCGCGUCGGAAAGUGUAAUCUUGGGGCUUAACCCUGAGCGUGCUUUCGAUACGGGUUGACUUGAGGAAGGUAGGGGAGAAUGGAAUUCCUGGUGGAGCGGUGGAAUGCGCAGAUAUCAGGAGGAACACCAGUGGCGAAGGCGGUUCUCUGGGCCUUUCCUGACGCUGAGGAGCGAAAGCGUGGGGAGCGAACAGGCUUAGAUACCCUGGUAGUCCACGCUGUAAACGGUGGGUACUAGGUGUGGGGUCCAUUCCACGGGUUCCGUGCCGUAGCUAACGCUUUAAGUACCCCGCCUGGGGAGUACGGCCGCAAGGCUAAAACUCAAAGGAAUUGACGGGGCCCCGCACAAGCGGUGGAGCAUGCGGAUUAAUUCGAUGCAACGCGUAGAACCUUACCUGGGUUUGACAUGGAUCGGGAGUGCUCAGAGAUGGGUGUGCCUCUUUUGGGGUCGGUUCACAGGUGGUGCAUGGCCUGUCGUCAGCUCGUGUCUGUGAGAUGUUGGGUUAAGUCCCGCAACGAGCGCAACCCUUGUUCACUGUUGCCAGCACGUUAUGGUGGGGACUCAGUGGAGACCGUCGGGGUCACACUCGGAGGAAGGUGGGGAUGACGUCAAGUCAUCAUGCCCCUUAUGUCCAGGGCUUCACGCAUGCUACAAUGGCUGGUACAGAGAGUGGCGAGCCUGUGAGGGUGAGCGAAUCUCGGAAAGCCGGUCUCAGUUCGGAUUGGGGUCCGCAACUCGACCUCAUGAAGUCGGAGUCGCUAGUAAUCGCAGAUCAGCAACGCUGCGGUGAAUACGUUCCCGGGGCUUGUACACACCGCCCGUCAAGUCAUGAAAGUUGGUAACACCCGAAGCCGGUGGCCUAACCGUUGUGGGGGAGCCGUCGAAGGUGGGACUGGUGAUUAGGACUAAGUCGUAACAAGGUAACC